UGGCGGCAGGCUAACACAUGCAAGUCGACGCGGUAACAGAAAGAAGCUUGCUUCUUUGCUGACGAGCGGCGGACGGGUGAGUAAUGCCUGGGAAUAUGCCUUAGUGUGGGGGAUAACUAUUGGAAACGAUAGCUAAUACCGCAUAACGUCUUCGGACCAAAGAGGGGGACCUUCGGGCCUCUCGCGCUAAGAUUAGCCCAGGUGGGAUUAGCUAGUUGGUGGGGUAAAGGCUCUCCAAGGCAACGAUCCCUAGCUGGUCUGAGAGGAUGAUCAGCCACACUGGAACUGAGACACGGUCCAGACUCCUACGGGAGGCAGCAGUGGGGAAUAUUGCACAAUGGGGGAAACCCUGAUGCAGCCAUGCCGCGUGUAUGAAGAAGGCCUUCGGGUUGUAAAGUACUUUCAGUCGUGAGGAAGGGUGUGUAGUUAAUAGCUGCGCAUUUUGACGUUAGCGACAGAAGAAGCACCGGCUAACUCCGUGCCAGCAGCCGCGGUAAUACGGAGGGUGCGAGCGUUAAUCGGAAUUACUGGGCGUAAAGCGCAUGCAGCCGGUUAGUUAAGCGAGAUGUGAAAGCCCGGGGCUCAACCUCGGAACAGCAUUUCGAACUGGCUAACUAGAGUCUUGUAGAGGGGGGUAGAAUUUCAGGUGUAGCGGUGAAAUGCGUAGAGAUCUGAAGGAAUACCGGUGGCGAAGGCGGCCCCCUGGACAAAGACUGACGCUCAGAUGCGAAAGCGUGGGGAGCAAACAGGAUUAGAUACCCUGGUAGUCCACGCCGUAAACGAUGUCUACUUGGAGGUUGUGGCCUUGAGCCGUGGCUUUCGGAGCUAACGCGUUAAGUAGACCGCCUGGGGAGUACGGUC
rnacentral:rRNA from 1 species